CCGCCAACACCGAGAGUCUCACGUGUAGGGAAGGCAGCCUUCUUCGAUGAUACUCGCUUACAUCGACGCUCUGGUCAUGGUGGAGGUUCGAGAACCGUCGUCGAGUUGCGUGGUAGGCGCCUAGGAUUGUUUGCCGGAGUCGCGGGUCUUUGCGGAACCGCCCAGUGCCACGAACGAGAGCCUCGACGCCGUCCUAACUCUGGUAAACCUUACACAUGCCUUCACCUUCGAUUUCAUACCAUGUAGCACCGAUCUAUGUAGGUUGAAAUGCUCAUGUGAGUCGUGAAUUGCUCGUCGACGUUGAGCUCAGCCAUGUAUCCGCGCCUCACCGUGGGUACAACACGGUAUUGCAUUCUUCCCGACUGGGAGACUCCGAUCUGGCUCAUAGUGUACCAGGGAGUUUGCAGCGCCCUUUGAUAUUGUGGUUGGGCGUCGGGGGAGGCAGGGCACGGUGGACCGAUAAUGGCGCCGUCGUUCGGCUGACCAGAUUGGGGAAGAUGAUGGCGAGGCAUCGAUGCAUGGAUAAACAGACAUGAGUAGCUCGGUGAAGCGUUUUAGCGAGAUUUAAGGGGCCGUUGGAUCUUGAGGUGAUGAACGAGAUUAGAUCCAUGUACCGAUGCGACCGACAUGAGAUGGCCAUAAAGCACGAGGCCCGCGAGCCCGGCACGAAGCCCGCUGUUUGGGCCUGGUCCGAGCCUGGCAUGGCCCGGUUCUAUGCGGGCCCGGGCCGGCUCGGCACGAAUAAGCGGGUCGGGCUCGGACAGGAAACUAGACACGGUGGGCUAGCCCGGCACGGCCCGUUUACCUCUAAGCACGUUAAGCCCGCUUUUUUGCACAAAAACGUGCUUUUCGGCCCGCUUAGCUCACUUUUGGCCCGCUUUUUUCGUGCUAAACGGGCCGACCCGGCCCGUUUAGGCCCGUUGCGGGCCGGGCUCGGACAGAGAAUCAAGCCCGCGGGCUCAGCAGGCCCGGCCCGAUUUACUAACCGUGACUGGCGGGCCGGGCCCAAAACGGGUCGGGCUUCAUCAGGCCCGGGCCCGACCGGGCUGGGCGGCUCGUUUGGCCAUCUCUAGUUAUGGAUGUUUUUGGCCCCGCUCCUAGCCCCUGAGCCUAGAGUCGGGGCAACGGGAGACUCAGGGCCCCUUUUACGUAAAUGAUGAUGUAAUAUGGGGAAAACUCCACCUUAGGGCUUGUUCGGUUAGCUCCCAAUCCACAUGGAUUGAGUGGGAUUGGGUGGGUUUAAAUCUCAACUAAGUCAAACUCUUUCUUAAUUUUUUCCAAUCUCAUCCAAUUCAUGGGUAACGAAAUUAACCGAACAAGGCCUUAAUGGCAUUUAUAUUUGUGUUCCCUCAUUUAUUGCGCAUAGGGGGUGACUUACUCAUGCCCCCACACGGGGGUGGUGUUGUAGCCGAAGGCCUGGCAUGUUAGUGGGUCAAGCCUGCUUUCUUGUCUGUUGGGUAUAGAUGUCCAAAUAGGCCACCCGGCACGGAUCCGGUCCGAACCCGUUUCGGCCCGGUACGAAUAGGGCCGGGCUAGGCACGGACCGUUGAUGCUUCGGGCCGGGUCGGGCUGGCCCACGUGCCUAGGGACAUGCCCAAACCCGGCACGCACAGGGAAAAAUCGUGCCGGGCCGGCCCGUUGGCCUGGUGGGCCUCAACGUACCGGGCUGGCCACUAGCCCGAACCAACAGUAGAGCGGUAUAUAAAUACAUACAUUUAACAGAAUUAAUCAUAUAUAAUAACAUAUUAUUUACAUAUAUUAAGACAACAAAAUAUUUAUGUAUGCAUUUUAUAUUUAUGUAUGCAUUUAUAUAUGUUUGGCUGCGUAUUUAUUAUUUACAUAUCAUGAGAGAAUUAAAUGUAUUUACAUAUUUAGUAUUUACAUAAAUAUGCGGGCCGCCGUCGGGCCGACCCAUUUAUUGGGUCGGGCCGGGCCAAAGCACGCGGGCCGCCGUAUCUGCCUAUACCCGGCCCGGGCCCGUAACCGACCGUGCCGGGCCGUGUUUGGACCGGGCUAAAUUCGUGCCGUGCCACGGGCCAAACGGGCGGCCCGCACUGUUUGGACAUCUAUACUGUUGGGUCAUCUCCGCUGACACCGUGCUACAGGGUUUUGUAGGACAGCCCUUAUUUAGUCGCACCAGUCUACCUUGCUUUCGGUUCCCUUGUUCCUUGUCUUCCUCACUUGGCCUAUCCUUCUCGCACUCAGGUCAUUCGUAAUGGUGGAGUGGCGUCGAUCCUUGAUGAGCUAGGAGAACCUUUGGGCCCUUGUCGGGCACAGUCUGGUUGACGACGACAGAUAGCUUAUCACAGGCGCCGAGGUGGCCCCUAACCAGCCUCUUGGUUAUGUGGUUUCUUUUGUACAGUUCCAUGAGAGAGGGCUCACCUUCCCCCUUCAUCCUUUUGUUGUGACACUCUUUAUGCAUUUGCACGUGUAGCUUCACUAUCUGAAUCCGAAUGGAAUUCAGCACAUAGCUGCUUUCAUCGCCCUGUGUGAAGGGUAUGUUGGUGUCGAGCCCGAGCUCACUUUAUGUCAAUACUUCUUUUGUGCCGAGCUAUUUGUCUAAGGAGGAACAGAGGACAAUGGAAACGUGGUCGCUUAGGUGCGCCAGUAUCUGCCUUCACAGCGAAAGGUCGUGUGAGUAUAUCCCUAUCCCUCUUUCCUUAUCUAAUGAGGGUUGGCAUAGGCCAUCGUUCUUCUGUGAGACAACGGUCGAGGGCCCUUGUCGGGGUCGUAAUUCUCGGCAUUGAGGUACAAGGGCCAGGUGGCCUAGAUGUUUGGAAGGAGGCACAAGCGGCAGCACGGUCUCCCUUGCCUUUUGUCCCAAAGGGUCCUCUGAUGCGCCCUGAGCCAGGCUUCAUCGAAUUCGUAAACAUCUUGCGUCGUCCCCUCUUGUCUCCCUUCUUAUUUCACCAUCAUGAGGUGUUUAUUUUCCUGUUCAUUUUGGCGCAGUCACUGAAUCUCGUUGAGACGACUAUCCCGGGCCAGGAAUCGAAUUAAGAAGCGAGACAAGAUCCGUCAAGAAGUGUUUUGGGGUAGGCCAAUCUAACACCAUGUUCAUUAACAUGUGUUCACAUUAUCAAUCUGAUAUCUCUAUAUCCAUGAUCCAUGAAACAUGAUCAUCAAUUAAUACACGUACUAGGCUAUGCAUCAUCAUUAUCUCAUAUAACGAUAUGGACUGGGGAUAAUCUAGAAUAACACCAUAAUCAAUAAAGAGUUUCAUGAACAAGUCACAUACUUGAUAACUGAUGUAAUUGAUAGUUAUUCCAAAAAAUACUUUAUUAAAUAGUACAUAAACAUAGUCAUGACAUAGGUCUCUCACACAUACACACUAGAAUCACUGAUGUAAGCAUCUUAUACCCAUAGAUCUUGUGUGUACAUCAUGUUUUACUUAUGAAAGAGGUUUUUUCAAUGGAUCAGCAACAUUUGAAUCCACCUGCACAUUGCAAAUCUUCAUAUCACCUUGUUCUAUGAUCUCGUGAAUGAUGUGAUAACGUCGUAGUAUAUGUUUGGUCUUUUGGUGUGAUCUAGGCUCCUUUGCCUAUGCAAUGGCUUCACUAUUAUCACAAUAGAGAUCCACAGGAUGGGAUGCACUAGGAACAACACCCAACUUAGAAACAAAUUUUCUGAUCCAAACAACCUUUUUGCAGCUUCUGAAACCGCAAUAUACUUAGCUUAUAUUAUCAAUAUCCUACUAUAUCUUGUUUGGAACUCUUCUAGCUCACAGCCCCAACAAUGAGACAGAAAACAAAUCUGGAUCACGAUCUAGAAUCAUCUAUGCCUGUUUGGAAGCUAGCAUUGGUGUAGCCAGUUAAAACAAGAUCUUCAUCACCACCAAACACUAAGAAUGCAUCCUUAGUUCUUCUUAAGUACUUAAGGAUGUUCUUCAGCUUUUCGAUGAGCUUCACCAUAAUUUGAUUGAUACCUUCUUGUAAUACUUACAACAUAUGAGAUAUCUAGACGUGCACAUGGCAUGGCAUACAUGAUGGAUCCUAUAGCUAAAGCGUAAGGAAUCGCUUUCAUCCUUCUUGCUCAUCAAUUAUCACUGGACACUAAAUCUCACAAAGAUUAAUGCCAUGUGACAUUGGCAAGAAUCCUUUCUUAGAAUCCUGCAUAUUGAACUGAUUCAAUACUUUGUCAAUAUUUGUAUCUUGCCUUAAUACAAUUAGCCAUUUUUAUCAUCUCUAUAGAUAUUUAUACCCAAAAUAUAUGAUGCUUCUCCUAAAUCAUUCAUUGAAAACUCUUUCUUAAUGAAGUUUUAACGUUGUCAAGCAUUGGUAUGAUAUUCCCGAUCAACAAUAUGCCAUCUACAUAUAGAUUUUUUAUGAACACCAACCCUUUGACCAUUUCAUUAAAACACAAAUUCCAACUCUGAGAUGCUUGCUUCAACCCAUAAAUGGAAUCACAAAGUUUGCAUAUCCUCCCAUCAUUUUUAGUUUCGACAAAACCUUCAGGUCGUGUCAUGUACACAUCCUCAGUCAGAUUUCUAUUAAGGAAAACAGUUUUGACAUCCUUUUGUUAUAUUUAAUAAUCAAAAUAUGCAACAAUUGAUAGGAUAAUCCAUACAUACUUUAGUAUCAUUACUGGGGAGAAAGUUUCAUCAUAGUCUACAUCAUGAAUUUGUUUGAAACCUUUGGCUACCAAACAUGCUUUAUAGAUAUAAACAUUUCCAUCCAUGUCUAUCUUUUUCUCGUAAACCCACUUGCAUUCGAUAGUUCUCACACCAUAAAUUGGAUCAAUCAAGUUCCAAACUUGAUUUUCAUGCAUGGACUAUAUUUCGGAUUCCAUGGCCAUUAAUCGGAGUUGGGUUCCAUCAGUGAUUAUUUGUAGAUUGUAGCCUCAUCAUUGACCAACAAUAAUAUGCCAUGAUGCUCCAUGGUUAGGAGUGUGAAAUUUUGAGUUAUGUGAUGUUUCCUUGUAGACCUACGUGGGGCUGGUGCUUCAUCAAUAGAUUCCACAACAUCUUGUACAUCUUGUACGAGUUCAGUGGGUGUUGAAACAUUUUUAGGUGUUUCUCAAAUUUCUUCAAGUUGCACUUGGCUCAAAUUAACUCCUUUAGAGAGAAACUCUUUCUCUAAGAAGACACCAUUGCGAGCAACAAACACUUGCCCUCGGUUCUAUUAUAACAAUAAUAUCCUUUGGCUUCCCUUGGAUACCCCACAAAAAAGCAUUUCUUGAUUUUGGAGUGAGUUUGUCUGACAUCAAAUGUUUGAUAUAAGCCUCACAUCCCCAAACUUUGAGGAAAGACAGUGUGGGAUGUUUCCUAGUCCAUAUCUCAUAUGGAGUCUUCUCAAUAGACUUGGUUGGAACCCUGUUUAGUGUAAGUGUGCCUAUUUCAAGAUAAUAACCCCAAUAAGAUAGUGGAAGAUCAUCUUGGCUCAUUGUCAACCUAACCAUGUCUAACGAGGUUUACUUUCUCCAUUUAGAUACCCCAUUCCAUUGAGGUGUUCAAGGUGGAGUCAACUACAGAACAAUUCCACAUUGUUUAAGAUAAUCAUUGAAUUCUUGAAUCAAAUAUUCACCUCCACGAUUUGAUCGCAAAAAAAUAAUUGUCUUGCCAAGUUAAUUCUAUACUUCAUUCUGAAAUUUUUUUAACUUUUCAAAUGAUAUAGACAUAUGCCUCAUUAGGUAUAAAUUUCCAUAUCUACUAAAGUCAUCAGUAAAAGUAUUGAAGUACUGAAAUCCACCUCUGACUAUUGAGCUCAUUGGUUCACAUACAUCAAUAUGUACAAGUCCAAACAUGUCAUUUGCCCUUUCACUGUGACUAGUGAAGGGUGCUUUCGUCAUCUUUCCAAGCAAACAAGACUCGCACACGUCAAGUGAUUCAAAAUCAAAUGAGCUAAGCAAACCAUCAUUGUGGAGUCUUUUAAUGAGUUUCUCAUUUAUAUGACCUAAGCGACAAUGCCAAAUAAAAGUAGGAUUCAAAUCAUUUAGUCGAGCCCUUUUAGUAUUAAUGUUACAAACAAUUUUAUUCUCAGAAUCAAGAACAUAUAAUCCAUUCACCAAUGGAAAAUGAGCAUAAAAAAUAUCAUUAUAAUAAAUAGAACAACACUAGUUCUUUAUUACAAUCUCAUAACCAUCUACUUAUACUAGACAUGAAGAAGAGAUAAUGUUCUUACUUAUGGAAGGAAUGCGAUAAUAAUUAUUCAACUCCAAAACUAAUCAUUAAGGUAACGAUAAGUUAUAGGUGCCGACUACUAUGCACGCAACUCUUGCUCCAUUUUCGGCACAUACAUCCAUCUCGCCUUUAGCAAAUCUUCUAGUCUUUCUUAGCCCUAUAAUGAUUUGCAAGUGUGAAUCAAUGAUCCAGUAUCAAAAACCCAUGAUUCAUUACAAGAUGUUGCAAUAUUAAUUUUCUAUAACAUUUAUACCUCAAGUAGAAGUCGCACUUCCCUUCUUCUUCUUGAGUUCCUCUAAGUACUUUGUGCAGUUCCUUGACCAAUGUCCCGUGUCAUGACAAUGGAAGCAUUCAUCAUCAGGAGAAGGACUAGACUUGCCCUUUGUCUUAGGCUUAGAGCUUGAGGGCUCCUUGGGAACAUUCUUCCCCUUGCAUUUUCUGUUAGGAGGCUACCUGCCUACUUUCUGCGAGCUUGCAAGAGAAUAAGGACUUUGAGAUGUUGUAUCUCACGGCUCUAGCUUGUUCCUCAGGUAUUCCAUGUAGCCCCACAAUCAUAGAAUAAGCAUCAUUAUGUGCAUACUGUUUCUGUAGAUUCGAGGACAUAGUGGCAGGCAUAAAGCAGCUCACAUCAAUUUAAUCAUUGGUGUGUUCCCGUAAGUCACUCGAUCUAACUCAUCCGCAUCAUCAAAGAGGUCAUCAGGGUAUGGUUCCUCAAGAACAUACUUGGUUUUCUCUUACCUAAGAACAAUUCUCAGGUUGCAGUACCAAUCAAUAAACUUAUUUCCAUUGAGUUUCCCUUUAUCAAGCAUAGAUCGAAAAUUGAAAAUAGAAUUGUUGCUGGCAUACAUGAUCUAUAACAGAAAAUAAAUAUACAAAGUUUUAGCACUACGCAAACAGCUCAGGCAAUAGAAGGGGAGAGACAGCACCCUCGGCGUCAUCUGGAGGCGUCACAGCGGAGUAGGACCCAGCGUCGAGUGGAGAGACUGGUGGAACCACCUUUGCUUUGAAGUGGCGAGCCAGCUUCAAGCUCGACCUUUCGACAAUGUCGGCAAGCCUCCAGACCUCCGCCUCGGCAAGGUCAUCCUCGUCAGGCAGGAUAUAGCCUUCGCACACCCGCUCGAGGUCGAUCUCGUAGUGGGAUGCAACAGAGGAGAUGGGCCACUAGGGCGUAAACCCUAAACAAAGGAGAUGGGCCACCAGGGUCGAUCUUGUAGUGGGAUGCAACAGAGGAGAUGGGCCACCAGGCAAGGAUAAGUUAAAUCUUUGUCUUCGCACACCAUGGCCUGCAGAUCCUCGUCGUCAACAGAGGAGAUGGGCCAUGGGUCACGGGGAGGAAGUGUAACACCCAGAAUAUUAAUAUUGGAGUUUAUGAAAAUUUUCCAAAGGUUUCGAAUGAAAACGACCUUUAAGAAGAUUUUCUUACCUUUGAGGUCAUCUCUCCUAAAAAUAUGCGUUCUCUAACAAAAGAAACAAAUACUUAUAUGAAUCAACUUAUCCAUUACAGACUUAUAUACCAAGUAAUAGUGACUAAAUUAUUUAUAAAGUAACUAUUCAUAAAGGAUAUACAUUCAAAAUGAUGUUAUCCUAAAAUAAUCAAAUAAUAAAAUAUUAAGGUUUGAAGUUAACUUUAAAUUGACUACAUACUAAAGACAAAGAUUUCUUUAAAUAAUAUGUGUGUGCAAUACAUAUUUAGAAACAUUUGCGUGAAUGAUUAAAUAAAAAUAUAUCACUUUGCAUUGGCAUGCUGAGUUCUUUGAUUGGGCAUUUGAAAUAAGUAUGAAACCUGAAAACUUGAGAUUCAAAUUUGAGAAUGUAGAAUGAAAUAGAAAAGAAAAUAGGAAUUAAAAAGAAAAAACAACCAAAACUGUUCUCGGGCUUGAUUUGGCCCAUUUUAACAACAUGUGGCCCAACUCACCUUCCCCGAUCACCUGGUCCAGCUAGGCACCCGCGCGACCGACAUGUGGGCCCUAUUUGUUAGCGUCUCGGCGGCAUCUGCCUCCUGAUGUCACUGAGUUAUGGGCUCCAUCAGCCAGCCCCGAACUGUUGCCCCACCGUUCCUGAGUCGUCGACAUGUGGGCCCCUCCAAUCGAGCAAAUCUUCUUCCUCCAUUUUCUGCUUCUCAGUUGAGCGCGCCGAACUUCGAGAUCUCCAGUCUCGCGUCAUGUUCGGUUACUAGUGGUUUGAGGGGGAUUGAAGGGGAUUAAAUCCCCUCCUAUUCAAAAUUGAAUAGGUGGGGAUUUAAUCCUCUUCAAUCCCCUAGCAACCGAACAAGGGUGGUGAUCCCUAUGCCACCACCACUAGUAAGGCCUAUCCAUUUUGAUUCAAGUUCAUCCCCACAACGUGUAUCGUGCUUUGGUUAGGAAAGUAGCACACUUGACCGAUGGUUUGGUUUUAUCCGACAACGAUGUCAGUCAUGAUGGUGUUACUCUGCCAUGGCAGGUCAUUGGGACAGAGGAGAAGGCCUCUCGGCCGUUGGUCUGCGAUCUAACGGUAGCGAUUACAUUAAGAAGGUAUCGUUUCGACAUUUUGGAUAGGAGGCAUCGAUCUGAGAUCGGAUGGACCCAAUGCAAUCUCGUUUAAUUAAAUCUAUACUGUAGAUCUCCAAUCCUUCGGUCGAGGCUACGUACCGGUUCGGUAAAGAACAAGAUUUAAUUUGGGCCGUUAGAUGGUGAUCAGACGGCCCGAAGCAUGUACGUGUAUAUGCAGCCGCGCUAAUUUGCAAAUUAGCCCUCAAGUUUCAUCAUUGUUGGGGGCCUUCUUCCUUCGAAGGUCCUCAAAAAAGUGAUUGACUAUAUGUUUUCAGUAUGACAUGGAUUAUUGCAGGAGGCUUCAGCUUCGAAAUUAAGAUCCUUUCUUGUGACAAGGGUCAAAAUGUAACCCAAAGGUGAUAAAAAUGGAC
rnacentral:lncRNA from 1 species